rnacentral:misc_RNA from 1 species
CCAAGCCCUUGGAAUUCAAGCGGGACUUCGAUUUCUGGCCGGAGCGAUCUACCCAGCAGCCCAAAAUCGCGGUUUUGCUAACAUAGGGCGCGCGCAGGUGCAACAUGACGGCGAUUGCGAACGCAUUUUUGGUGGCGCCGGUUUGUCGCACGCAUCGCGUCACGCUUAUUGAGUGCGGGCGGAAAGAAGUCCUGGGCGUCUGAGCGGCUCAGUUCGAUCGCCAUCAUCAUGCGCUGCGACACCGGUGAUCACCGUAGGCACAUGGACGAUUAUCAUCGCGCUUGGGCGAACGCCUGCUAUCGCGGCCUCGGCUGGCACGGCGUGA